rnacentral:rRNA from 1 species
AUUGAACGCUGGCGGCAGGCCUAACACAUGCAAGUCGAGCGGAUGAAGGGAGCUUGCUCCUGGAUUCAGCGGCGGACGGGUGAGUAAUGCCUAGGAAUCUGCCUGGUAGUGGGGGAUAACGUCCGGAAACGGGCGCUAAUACCGCAUACGUCCUGAGGGAGAAAGUGGGGGAUCUUCGGACCUCACGCUAUCAGAUGAGCCUAGGUCGGAUUAGCUAGUUGGUGGGGUAAAGGCCUACCAAGGCGACGAUCCGUAACUGGUCUGAGGGGAUGAUCAGUCACACUGGAACUGAGACACGGUCCAGACUCCUACGGGAGGCAGCAUUGGGGAAUAUUGGACAAUGGGCGAAAGCCUGAUCCAGCCAUGCCGCGUGUGUGAAGAAGGUCUUCGGAUUGUAAAGCACUUUAAGUUGGGAGGAAGGGCAGUAAGUUAAUACCUUGCUGUUUUGACGUUACCAACAGAAUAAGCACCGGCUAACUUCGUG